GACGAACCGUGCGAACGUUGUUCGGAAUCACUGGGCUUAAAGGGCGCGUAGGCGGGCCUUCAAGUCCGGGGUGAAAUCCUCCAGCCUAACUGGAGAAGAGCCUCGGAGACUGAGGGCCUCGAGGAGGGUAGGGGCGUGCGGAACUCUGGGUGGAGCGGUGAAAUGCAUUGAUAUCCAGAGGAACACCAAUGGCGAAGGCAGCUCGCUGGAACGGUACUGACGCUGAGGCGCGAAAGCGUGGGGAGCAAACAGG
rnacentral:rRNA from 1 species